rnacentral:rRNA from 1 species
UACGUAGGGGGCGAGCGUUGUCCGGAUUUACUGGGCGUAAAGAGCGCGUAGGCGGCUCGUUAAGUCGGCUGUGAAAGCUCCCGGCCCAACCGGGAAGGGUCAGCCGAAACUGGCGAGCUUGAGGGCGGUAGAGGAAGGUGGAAUUCCGGGUGUAGUGGUGAAAUGCGUAGAUAUCCGGAGGAACACCGGUGGCGAAGGCGGCCUUCUGGGCCGUACCUGACGCUGAGGCGCGAAAGCGUGGGGAGCGAACUGA